rnacentral:tRNA from 1 species
GAGCAGUGUAGUGGAUAUGAAGAUUGGACUAUGACUCUGGAGACCAGGGUUCAAAUCCCUGCCUGGUCA